UGCAUGUAGCUCAGNAAUUUUUCCAUCGA
rnacentral:piRNA from 1 species